rnacentral:lncRNA from 1 species
CAAUUGUGCUGAUUAUAGACACUUAAUAGCGCGUUUUUAAGUUUCAAAAGAUUGCGACCCCCCCACCCUUUGCCUCACAAUGGUUUGAUCCACUGCCAGUUCCUUAGCUUGCUAGGUAACAGAGAGUUUGUAUCUACUGUCUGAAAGGCACUCAAUGCACGUAACUGACGUGAGGUUAAUCCAGUCAAUCGCGCACACACACACACACUAGCUGAAUAUGCAGAGCUAGCGUGCAAAUAUUAACUAUUAAGCUAGCUAGUACCUAUUCCAUUUAUGUGGCGUCGUCAAAGAUGGAAUCAGCAUGCAGAUGAUGCAGAGCAGGCAACAGAUGGCACACAGACAGCAGAGUUGGGGACAGAUAUGCAGGGACAGACUGGCAGAGACAGGGAGUCUCAGUCUCGAAUGAGUGCAGACUCCAGGAAAGCCUGUCCCCGUCUGGGCUGGGGCAGAGACCUUGUCACUGGGGGGGUCAGUGGCACACUGCAGCCCUUCUUCCUCUGGAUAGACCCCCGGCGGAUCCCCCUGGCUCCAGGAAGAACACUUCAAAUGAGGGAGCAGGAAGAGCCGGGCAAGGGAACUCUGUAACAGAGGACCUGGAGCAGAGGCCAUGUGGCUAUCUCUUCACAUCAAUUGGCCAAUGAUGACCGGAGAGGACAGGUACUUGUGUCUGCCAACAUAUAUAAAAAUAAUAUUUUGAGUGGGCCUUUAAUCAAUGCCAAUACAGAUACCUAGCUAGGUUGUAUCAAUGUGUCCUAUAUUGUUCUGUCUCUCUGCCUCUCUCUCUCUCUCUCUCUGUCUCUCUCUCCCCCUUCUAUCUCUCUCUCGUGCUCUUUCUCCCCCUCUCUCACUCUGCCUCCCAUUUUUUCAAUAUUUUUCUCUCUUACUCCUAUCCUAAUACAUUGGAGUUGUAUUGGACAAAUAAAACAUCAGAUUGGUCACUAUGAUGCGUGGGUGUGUAUGAGUGAGCGUGAGCGUGAGCGGGUGUGUGUUAUUUUUAGGUAUCUGUGUUGUGUUUUGUGGAUUAGCUUUGUUUGUUCAAUUUGGGCUAGGGAAUCGGGAGGGAGAGACAUAGGUCUGCGCUUACUCUGUUAUCCUGGAGUUUGUCUUUGACUAAAUAAUUAACUUAGUCCUCCAGCUGUAGCUUCUCAUGUGUGACAAAUUGUGCUGAAUAGGAGUUUAGUCACACCAUUAUAAGUGCUAUGUAAACACACUUCAA